GAUGAACGCUGGCGGCGUGCCUAAUACAUGCAAGUCGAGCGAACAGACGAGGAGCUUGCUCCUCUGACGUUAGCGGCGGACGGGUGAGUAACACGUGGAUCACCUACCUAUAAGACUGGGAUAACUUCGGGAAACCGGAGCUAAUACCGGAUAAUAUAUUGAACCGCAUGGUUCAAUAGUGAAAGACGGUUUUGCUGUCACUUAUAGAUGGAUCCGCGCCGCAUUAGCUAGUUGGUAAGGUAACGGCUUACCAAGGCAACGAUGCGUAGCCGACCUGAGAGGGUGAUCGGCCACACUGGAACUGAGACACGGUCCAGACUCCUACGGGAGGCAGCAGUAGGGAAUCUUCCGCAAUGGGCGAAAGCCUGACGGAGCAACGCCGCGUGAGUGAUGAAGGUCUUCGGAUCGUAAAACUCUGUUAUUAGGGAAGAACAAAUGUGUAAGUAACUAUGCACGUCUUGACGGUACCUAAUCAGAAAGCCACGGCUAACUACGUG
rnacentral:rRNA from 1 species